rnacentral:rRNA from 1 species
AGAGUUUGAUCCUGGCUCAGGAUGAACGCUAGCUACAGGCUUAACACAUGCAAGUCGAGGGGCAGCAUAUCGGUAGCUUGCUACUGAUGAUGGCGACCGGCGCACGGGUGAGUAACGCGUAUCCAACUUCCCCUUAGUAGGGCAUAGCCCGGCGAAAGUCGGAUUAAUACCCUAUGUUAUCCAGCGAUGGCAUCUGAAUUGGAUUAAAGGUUUACCGCUAAGGGAUGGGGAUGCGUCUGAUUAGGUAGUCGGCGGGGUAACGGCCCACCGAGCCUGCGAUCAGUAGGGGUUCUGAGAGGAAGGUCCCCCACAUUGGAACUGAGACACGGUCCAAACUCCUACGGGAGGCAGCAGUGAGGAAUAUUGGUCAAUGGGCGAGAGCCUGAACCAGCCAAGUAGCGUGCAGGAAGACGGCCCUAUGGGUUGUAAACUGCUUUUAUACAGGGAUAAAGUCGGGGACGUGUCCCCGUUUGUAGGUACUGUAUGAAUAAGGACCGGCUAAUUCCGUGCC